GUCCUCCCAAGCCCCUCCUCUCCUUGGCCUCUCAGGAAGCAGAUACGCUGAGCUGGGGUUUCUCAAAGUGCUGAGUCAGGGAGAAAAAGACAGCUAUCCACCCCAGGGGUGUGUCGGGAGGCCAGGGUGCCAGGACAUAGCAGCUGUGAUCACCCUCUCGGGGCGCUCUUGGGGGGUGAUCCUAUGCCCACCCCAGUGUUGAGGCCCCUCCCUCCAUCAUGUCCAUCAGUCAUGUUGGUGAAGAGGAAGGACCCGGCCGUGGCUGCUCUCCUGACUUGGAGGCCAGUGAGUGGAGAUGGGAGCCUGCUGCAGCGGGAAGGGCUGGGGAUGCCGCCCAGCGGCAGAGUACUUGCCCAGCUAGUGCCCUGGGUUCAGUUCCCAACCCUACAAACAGAGAGACAAAACCCCCACGUGGCUUGGGUACCACUCCUGGCCGGGCAGUGGUGGGGUGGUCCUGUGGGUAGAGCCACUGGGGGCACAGUGCUGUUUGUGCCAGGCUUUGGGCUGGGCCCUGGCAGUGUACGCCCUUGUUGUUGGCAAUACUUCACCUCCUGCCCUUUCCAGGGGAAGUCUGCGUAGCUCUUUCAAGAAGAGGCCUUCUGCCCUAAGGGCAUCACUCUGGGGUACCUGGGGGGAUCGCUGGAGGUAAGGUAGCCUGCUUGGGUCGUCUGCUUUCAAGUAGAAAAAUCCUGUUUUCUUUGGCCAGUCCCCCAAACGACUUUUCCAGCCAGGCCAGGAGGCGCACAGUCAUCUCUGCAGCUUGGGAGGCGGAGGCAGGCGGACCGUGAGUUCAAAGCCAGCCUCACAACUCAGUGAGACCCAGUUUCAAACAUGAAAAGGGCUGGGGAUGAUGGUCAGUGGUCAAGCACCCUGGGUUCAAUCCCUGGUUCCGAGUCAAACCAAACCAACCCCUUUCUCUCCCGGGGGCCCCCACCCCCACCCCGCCAUCCUUCUCAGCCCUCACCUCUUUCCCCUGGGGCCCACUUCUUUCCCAGGCUCCACCUGUCCUUUGCCCUCAUGCUCUCAGCUCCCCUCCUCUCACCCAGGCCCCCUCGGGUCUGUCCCCUCCUGUCCCCUCCUCUGGGGAUCCCCCGUCCCUGCCCCCAGGGCCUUAGCCUCCAGCCUGUCCUGGGGGCGGUGGUUCCCCUCCAUGCCUGACCACCCCGAAUCUCCUUGAGGACCAGGGCGUGUACACUCUCUUCAAGAGCCGCUUCCAGACUUCUCCGCUGGACCCCGGGACAGACCCAGGACUGGCUGGCGGUUGCCAUGGGAACCUCCCAGGGCCACCCAGAUCCAGGGACAGCUCCUCAUCUGGCCUUGUUCUGGUCCACAGAUGAGCAAAGGCCCUUCCCAUGUUCCCAGCAGGGGUCUGGGAGGGACAGUGUGGGGUGGGGUGGGGGCCAUGGAUCUCUCCUCUGGUUCCUUCCCCCCCAAACUGCCUCUUGUCACCCACUCAGGCUCUUAUCUGAGUUUCCUGUCCCUUUUCUCACAGGCCUUUCUCAAGGUCACUGCCUAUCUCUUUGGAGGCCUUUGGCUUGCAGAUUAGCUGCCUGCCCGCUCCCCCAUGGAGUGACCCUUCCCACUCACCGUUCUGCUGUAUCCCAGGCCAGCUGCGGCCCAGCUGGGCCUCUUCUCGUUAGAGAUUGGCCUGAGCAAGAUUGGGGUCAGAAAAGCCAGAGUUAGGUCCCCACUGUGCCCACCCAGGGGCCUGGCCAGAUGCCCCCGUGGCUUAGGGCUCAGCCCUCUUCAUUUGCAGCAGACUCCGCAGUGGCCCUCUCGCAGGCGGCUUUGAGGGUUAAACAUUCCCCUUAAGAUCAUGAAAAGGCAUCUGCAAGCUGCAGAGUCCCGCUGUCCUUUGGUUUCCAUGGGACAUUGCUUCCAGGACCUCCUAUGGCUACCAAAACCCAUGGCUGCUCUGGACCCUUAUAUAAAAUGACAUCGUAUUGUGUAAGGUCCUUGCUUAGCAUCUGGACGGCCAUCUUAAGUGACAGAUGCAAUUUUAAGAAAGAUUUUGCUUUCCUGCCCAAGGGCUUUCUAGGAAAGGCUCAGCCCCCCUCAUACCAGCCCCAGCCCUCAGCUCCUGGGUGGUUUCAACCCACCCUUCACUGCCCAUGCCCUACCCAGUUUAACCCUGAGCAUCCCCCAUAAGCCUUGAACCCCAAGCCUGUUCUGCCUCUCUCUGUCUAUGGAGAGAGGGCCUUUGUCCCCUCUGACAAAUAAACUCUCCUGUGAAUCUCUGCCUGGUC
rnacentral:lncRNA from 1 species